CCUAACACAUGCAAGUCGAGCGGUAGCACAGAGAGCUUGCUCUCGGGUGACGAGCGGCGGACGGGUGAGUAAUGUCUGGGAAACUGCCUGAUGGAGGGGGAUAACUACUGGAAACGGUAGCUAAUACCGCAUAACGUCGCAAGACCAAAGUGGGGGACCUUCGGGCCUCAUGCCAUCAGAUGUGCCCAGAUGGGAUUAGCUAGUAGGUGGGGUAACGGCUCACCUAGGCGACGAUCCCUAGCUGGUCUGAGAGGAUGACCAGCCACACUGGAACUGAGACACGGUCCAGACUCCUACGGGAGGCAGCAGUGGGGAAUAUUGCACAAUGGGCGCAAGCCUGAUGCAGCCAUGCCGCGUGU
rnacentral:rRNA from 1 species